UGGUGGAGUGAUUUGUCUGGUUGAUUCCGUUAACGAACGAGAUCUUGACCCUUCAAUGACAGCUGGAUCGAAUAUAUGUAGUUCAUUGCUUCAUCCUUGUGUUGAUCAGCAUGGGCGAGAUCCUGAUAUGUACUCAAGGGGACGAUGCGUGUCAACAACGCAUGGAAGUGCGAGCCAAUAGCA
rnacentral:rRNA from 1 species